rnacentral:rRNA from 1 species
GGGCCCGCACAAGCGGUGGAGCAUGUGGUUUAAUUCGACGCAACGCGAAGAACCUUACCUGGGCUUGAACUGUAAUGGACCGGUGCAGAGAUGUGCCUUUUCGCAAGAACUGUUACAGAGGUGCUGCAUGGCUGUCGUCAGCUCGUGUCGUGAGAUGUUGGGUUAAGUCCCGCAACGAGCGCAACCCUUACCUUUAGUUGCCAGCGCGUAAUGGUGGGAACUCUAAAGGGACUGCCCGGGUUAACCGGGAGGAAGGUGGGGAUGAUGUCAAGUCCUCAUGGCCCUUAUGUCCAGGGCUACACACGUGCUACAAUGGGCGAUACAAACCGUCGCGAAGCCGCGAGGUGAAGCUAAUCGGAGAAAGUCGCCCUCAGUUCGGAUUGUAGUCUGCAACUCGACUACAUGAAGGUGGAAUCGCUAGUAAUCGUGUAUCAGAAUGAUACGGUGAAUACGUUCCCGGGCCUU